rnacentral:rRNA from 1 species
GAGGAAUAUUGGUCAAUGGGCGCAAGCCUGAACCAGCCAUCCCGCGUGAAGGGAGAAUGCGCUACGCGUUGUAAACUUCUUUUCCAGGGGGAGAAUUUUCCUGUCGAGACAGGGAUUGACGGUACCCUGGGAAUAAGCAUCGGCUAACUCCGUGCCAGCAGCCGCGGUAAUACGGAGGAUGCGAGCGUUAUCCGGAUUUAUUGGGUUUAAAGGGUGCGUGGCGGAUUGAUAAGUCAGUGGUGAAAUUCUGCAGCUUAACUGUAGACUUGCCGUUGAUACUGUUAGUCUUGAGUGUGGUCAAGGCAGGCGGAAUGUGUAAUGUAGCGGUGAAAUGCUUAGAUAUUACACAGAACACCGAUUGCGAAGGCAGCUUGCUGGGUCAUUACUGACGCUGAUGCACGAAAGCGUGGGGAUCAAACAG